AUUGAACGCUGGCGGCAUGCCUUACACAUGCAAGUCGAACGGCAGCACGGGAGCAAUCCUGGUGGCGAGUGGCGAACGGGUGAGUAAUAUAUCGGAACGUGCCCAGGCGUGGGGGAUAACGCAGCGAAAGCUGUGCUAAUACCGCAUACGACCUGUGGAUGAAAGCGGGGGAUCGCAAGACCUCGAGCGAUUGGAGCGUCCGAUAUCAGAUUAGGUAGUUGGUGGGGUAAAGGCUCACCAAGCCGACGAUCUGUAGCUGGUCUGAGAGGACGACCAGCCACACUGGAGCUGCGACACGGUCCAGACGCCUACGGGAGGCAGCAGAGGGGAAUUUUGGACAGUGGGCGCAAGCCUGAUCCAGCAAUGCCGCGUGCAGGAUGAAGGCCUUCGGGUUGUAAACUGCUUUUUUACGGAACGAAAAGGCUCUGGUUAAUACCUGGGGCACAUGACGGUACCGUAAGAAUAAGCACCGGCUAACUACGUGCCAGCCGCCGCCGUAACAC
rnacentral:rRNA from 1 species